AGGUUCUGUCACUAAGCAUGAGGUACAGCUCCACAAACUUCAGCUGACUGAAUGGAUCCAGUACAGAGCCUCUUGCCCUUCAGCUGAGGGAGAGAUUCCAGUGCCUUCAGAGGGCAGUCCAACUCACCCUGCCUGAGUGGUGUCUCAUGCAGGAAGGAUCAAUCUUUCUUCAGAGCUACUCACUUCCCCAAGUUUAUUGGAGAGACAGCCUGGACAACUUGUUCAGAAGGGUCCCACCUUUUAGGACUCAUGCUGCAGCUAUAUCAGCAUUGGUGUGUGUGUGGCUUAGAAUGAAAACAAAGUGAAGAAAUACAGAUAGAAAGGUGAGAGAGAGAAUUGUAAGAGAAAGGGAGAGACAGAUUAAGGAGGGUGCUGAAAUAAGCUAUUCCUGUUGGUUUUGUCUGGUCUAUGAAAGCAGUACAAGGAGAGUACAGGCAAGCUGAUCCUCUACUGUGUUUCCUCUACCACACACUGGUUUCUCUAUUUACAUCACAACCUCUUUGUGCAGUGUAAUUGUCUAGCACAAUGGGGCCCUCAGUGGGAACCUCAAGGUAUUUCCAUCAUAAGAACAACAAACAAGAGCAAGGAAGAAGAACAAAAGGAGAAACACUGUGAUUACAAGAAUAGGUCCAAACUUCAUCAGACUGAAGAGUUCCAGAAUUUGGGACAUUUCAAAACUAAAAAUAGAAGCAAAUGAGAGGAUCCAACACUGGUUUUUAUCUUGAGCUGCAAUGUGUGUCUCCAAAGAGUCAUGGCAUGCACUGUAUGCCUUGCUUCUAUUGUCAGAACAUAUCAAGUGAGAGUACAGUGAAGCUCUAGAAAUUGUAGCGUGUCGAGCAUCAUCACAACCAAACGUUACAUCUUGCCUUGCACGGUCUUCUUCCCAAUAUUUAUGUUGUGAAAAUCCAGUUAGGAGUUUUACUCCUUUCCUACAAAUGAUUUAUUUUGUUUUCUUGGAACAAUAGGUCACAUUGUUUUUCUCCUUCGGAGCUUUCACUUUGAUGUGUUGGCUUUGACUGCUAGAGGAAAUGUUGCGGACCAGAAAAGAAGCAUUGCUGUGCUUCACUGUAAACAGCAGGUGCAACAGCUGCUGCAGGAAAGCCACUCGUUUUCCUGCUCCUUUUUGGGGAUGA